rnacentral:lncRNA from 1 species
AGCGCCACCUCGCCUGGGCCCCGGGGGGCGUUUCUGGUGUGCGAGGGGGGCAGCGCAGGCACCGCUGCCGGGCUCCGUGCACCACAGGGUUGGGUGGGCGAACAGCACGCGAUUGAGGGUGUCAGAUUAAAGGUUUCCGGUCUAGCCUGGGUCCUACACCACCCGUGUACAGUAAUGACACAUUCCCCAGAAGAUUCUGGAAAAUCUGCAGAGCCACAAGCUCCUUUCAUCUGGAACUGCAUGCUUGUAGGAGAAGAAAACAAGCCAGUGAGGCUUUCAUACAAGACCCAGUGUGGCAGAAUGUGUGUACAGUUGCUGUUUCAUCAUCCCAUCUAAGGCUGGAGGUGUUUCCAUCAAUUAAUUUUACACAACUGAUACCUACAUCUCAAAGG